rnacentral:rRNA from 1 species
GACGAACGCUGGCGGCGUGCUUAACACAUGCAAGUCGAACGGAAAGGCCCUGCUUGCAGGGUGCUCGAGUGGCGAACGGGUGAGUAACACGUGGGUGAUCUGCCCCUUACUUUGGGAUAAGCCUGGGAAACUGGGUCUAAUACUGGAUAGGACCAUGCUGUAGGUGGUGUGGUGGAAAGAUUAGUUUCGGUAAGGGAUGAGCUCGCGGCCUAUCAGCUUGUUGGUGGGGUAAUGGCCUACCAAGGCGUCGACGGGUAGCCGGCCUGAGAGGGUGGACGGCCACAUUGGGACUGAGAUACGGCCUAGACUCCUACGGGAGGCAGCAGUGGGGAAUAUUGCACAAUGGGCGCAAGCCUGAUGCAGCGACGCCGCGUGGGGGAUGACGGCCUUCGGGUUGUAAACUCCUUUCAGCCAUGACGAAGCCCUUGUGGUGACGGUAGUGGUAGAAGAAGCACCGGCUAACUACGUG